CGGUUCUCGUUCGAUCACUGAAGUUAAGCAAAGUUGAGCUUUGUCAGUACUUAGACGAGUGACUGCGUGGAAAUACCAGGUGUUGU